GCAGCAUGCAUGUCUC
rnacentral:miRNA from 1 species